AGGAUGAAGGCCUAUGGGUUGUAAACUUCUUUUGUACGGGUAAAAAACCUUCUUACGUGUAAGAAGCUGAUUGUACUGUAAGAAUAAGGAUCGGCUAACUCCGUGCCAGCAGCCGCGGUAAUACGGAGGAUCCAAGCGUUAUCCGGAUUCAUUGGGUUUAAAGGGUGCGUAGGCGGAAUGAUAAGUCAGUGGUGAAAUCUCGCAGCUUAACUGCGAAACUGCCAUUGAUACUGUCAAUCUUGAGUACAUUUGAUGAGGGCGGAAUGUGUCAUGUAGCGGUGAAAUGCUUAGAUAUGACACAGAACACCGAUUGCGAAGGCAGCUCUCAAAACUGUAACUGACGCUGAGGCACGAAAGCGUGGGUAUCAAACAGGAUUAGAUACCCUGGUAGUCCACGCUGUAAACUAUGAUUACUCGAUGUUUGCGAUACACAGUAAGCGUCUAAGCGAAAGCGAUAAGUAAUCCACCUGGGGGAGUACGCUCGCAAGAGUGAAACUCAAAGGAAUUGACGGGGC
rnacentral:rRNA from 1 species